CAGAAGGGAGCUUGCUCCCGGAUGUUAGCGGCGGACGGGUGAGUAACACGUGGGUAACCUGCCUGUAAGACUGGGAUAACUCCGGGAAACCGGAGCUAAUACCGGAUAGUUCCUUGAACCGCAUGGUUCAAGGAUGAAAGACGGUUUCGGCUGUCACUUACAGAUGGACCCGCGGCACAUUAGCUAGUUGGUGAGGUAACGGCUCACCAAGGCGACGAUGCGUAGCCGACCUGAGAGGGUGAUCGGCCACACUGGGACUGAGACCCGGCCCAGACUCCUACGGGAGGCAGCAGUAUGGGAAUCUUCCGCAAUGGACGAAAGUCUGAGCGGAGCAACGCCGCGUGAGUGAUGAAGGUUUUCGGAUCGUAAAGCUCUGUUGUUAGGGAAGAAACAAGUGCAAGAGUAAUCUGCUGCAC
rnacentral:rRNA from 1 species